UACGUAGGAUGCAAGCGUUGUCCGGAUUUACUGGGCGUAAAGCGCGCGCAGGCGGCAUACCAAGUAUUCAGUGAAAUCUCCCUGCUCAACGGGGAGGGUGCUGAGUAGACUGGUAGCUAGAGUCCGGAAGAGGAGAGCGGAAUUCCUGGUGUAGCGGUGAAAUGCGCAGAUAUCAGGAAGAACACCCGUGGCGAAGGCGGCAUCCUGGACCGGCACUGACGCUGAGGAGCGAAAGCCAGGGGAGCAAACGGG
rnacentral:rRNA from 1 species